UACGUAGGGUGCGAGCGUUAAUCGGAAUUACUGGGCGUAAAGCGUGCGCAGGCUGUUCUGUAAGUCAGAUGUGAAAUCCCCGAGCUCAACUUGGGAACUGCGUUUGAAACUACAGGACUAGAAUAUGUCAGAGGGGGGUAGAAUUCCACGUGUAGCAGUGAAAUGCGUAGAGAUGUGGAGGAAUACCAAUGGCGAAGGCAGCCCCCCUGGGAUAAUAUUGACGCUCAUGCACGAAAAGCGUGGGGAGCAAACAGGAUUAGACUA
rnacentral:rRNA from 1 species